rnacentral:tRNA from 1 species
GUAGCCUAGUGGUUAGAGCAUCAGACUCUAGACCUGAGGGCCUGGGUUCGAUGCCCAGUGCCA